UGAGUGUCUUUGGGAUCUCUCCUCUCUCUACUUCACUCAACAUUGUCUCUAGAACAGUGGCUGAAAUCCAGCAGAAGACUGGGAUGUGACACAUGAUGAAGAGGCUCCUUGAUGACUUCAGGUGUGUGAUGAUUCUGUUGGCCAGACUCUGAUCUCUGAUUCUCUUCCUGAAGUAUUCCUCCUUCUGUGAGUCAUUGAAUCCUCGUACCUCUGUCACUCGAUCAACACACUCAGAGGGGAUGAGAUCAGCUGCUGCUGGUCUGGAGGUGAUCCAGAUGAGAGAAGAGGGAAGCAGAUUCCCCUUGAUGAGGUUUGUCAGCAGCACAUCCACUGAGGCUGAUUCAGUGACAUCACACAAUCUCACAUUGCUCUGAAAAUCCAGAGACAGACGACACUCAUCCAAACCAUCAA